UACCAGCACCCCGAGUGGUCGGGACGUUUUAUUGGGCCUAAAGCAUCCGUAGCCGGUUCUACAAGUCUUCCGUUAAAUCCAACUGCUUAACAGGUGGGCUGCGGAAGAUACUAUAGAGCUAGGAGGCGGGAGAGGCAAGCGGUACUCGAUGGGUAGGGGUAAAAUCCGUUGAUCCAUUGAAGACCACCAGUGGCGAAGGCGGCUUGCCAGAACGCGCUCGACGGUGAGGGAUGAAAGCUGGGGGAGCAAAGCGGG
rnacentral:rRNA from 1 species